rnacentral:lncRNA from 1 species
GAAUGUGUACUGAUUAGUGAUUAGCUAGCUUCCUUUCUGAUUUUGAGCAAAUUUCCUAUAUGUGAAAUUUAUAGAAUUCUUGCUUUCUGCAUGGUAAAUUUGCAUUCAUGAAUUUAGUUAAAAGUGAAAAGAAAAAAAAAACAAGAUUGCAUUUUAAUUUCUCCAUCCAAUACAUCUGACAAAGUGAGAAAUUUGAUGAAAGAAUUAACAUAAACUAGCUAGCCCCAACCGUGGGAAAUAUGUGCUAGAAAUUGCAGCUACCAAUGGCGAAGCCAGAAAAUUCAAUUUGAACACCCUUUGUCAUUGGACUAUGCAAGGGUAUUCAAAGUCUAUUUUUUUUAAUCUAAUAUUUUAGUAAGUAUAAUUUUUCGGCGAAGAGCUUAAGUUGAUCACCAUUGGCCACACAUUGCUUCGCCCCCGUGCAGCUACUACAACACGAUUAAUCCACCAAAGUAUUAGCUCUAUGCUUGGUUGAUUUCACACGACAUGUGAUAUUCGUUAUCCAGCCCUGCAAAAGAAGAACAACUAGAACUUGAUAUCCAAAUUUUUAGGAAGAAAAAGAAAGAUUUUUUGUUUGAACUCCCUGUCACACUCCUUUUUUUACAAACUUUACUAAAUCCUCUUAAAAAAUAAUUUUGUAAAGCUCGAAAGGGUUUUUCAAUUUUGAAAGUGACAAAAAUUUGUGUUCAAAAGGAUUAACUCAGAGUCGCCACCUGAUAUUUGAUUUCGGCGUGUCAGGUCACCAUUUUUUCUAGAAAUAUAUUUUUCCCUUUCAAAACACUUGAGACUCUAAAACUAAAUCUGCACCAGAGACUCCCCAAGUCCCGUGAAAAUCACGGUUGCAUAUAUGAUCAAGUUGGCUUUUUAGAAGAUUCGAAUUAAGGUAAAAGACACAGAAAUGGGAAAAUAAACACACAAGAGGCUCGAGGUCGUUCUCACCUAAUAAAAGAAGAAAUAAAAAUGAAAAUAAAAUACUACGAGUUCUACUUUAGGUCUCCAAAUACAAGUACUUCGGGGUAUUCCCCGGAAUAAAAUAUAUGCAAGUCCUUCGGGGCAUUCCCCGGAUAAAUUUAACUAAGGGAACGACCUCUUGCCUCAAAAUUAACAAAAGUCCUAAAGCUUGCCUACCCAAAUGAUAACGCCCUAUGCAUGCUCCUAGCGAAUAAAGUAAAUAAAUAAGGGAAAACUAAAGCAUGUAACAAUUUAAUUAUGUUUGGCUUUUCCCCGUUCCCACGGCCAAUAUUUCAUUCAAGACAAAUACAUUGAACAAGACAUGAUGGGAGAAUCAAGUCGAUACACAUACCAAAAUGAAUGGGAGAGAAUGAAUUAACUAACAAACUAAGACGAAUAAUGAAGUGAAAUGAAACAAUAAAAUAUGAUAAGAGCCACCCAAUUUUCCCUCAACCCCAUCCCAAAAUACGUUAAAAAGGCCACUGAUUCCCAUUCUUCUUAUUACCUAACACUUGAUAAAACUAACUAAGGGGCUAAAACAAGUUCCAACCAUAGCCCCUCAGAAACACGUUAAGCUAACUGGGAAUCAAAGAACCUGCCAAUAAUUUCACCUAUGUGGAUUUAACUCUCUCUAAAUCUUGAUUUCACUUAGCUACAACUACCAUAAAUUUGGGAAAAGACUACUAGGGAGCAUUCUGCAUUAGACUUAGUUAACAUGGAAAGCUUAAUGACAAGUGAACCUUCACCAUAAUGAUGCAAUUCAUAAGCACAACUAUGCGCUUCCCUCCACAAGUAGUAGGAAAAUUAUUAGAAUAAGGAGAGGUUCAUGGCUAAAUCAAUCUGCAUAUCUCCUGCUUAAUAAGGUGAGUCAUUCAGGGAGUCAUCACCUAGACAGAUGCCAUUUGCCCUCCUUAAAACAAGAAUAACAGGAAUGAGCACCUCUUGCAAACCCGACAAGAAAGAAAAGAAUUUCACCAUGACACCUAAACUAGAUUAAUUUACUACUCCGACAGUCCAGGAUCUGGACUGAAAUUGCUAAUUCACGAUAUGACUCAAAUUUAGCAAAAUCUCGUGACCGCUUCAAAACAUUAAACUGAAUUAUCCUAAAUAACAACAAGAAAGAAACAUCGACGAAUAACUCCAGAAGUCAUGUAACGCUUAAACAUCAACAAGACCGAUAAGAAUGAUCAGACGCAUGCCAAGAGAGACUCGAUCAAACUAACCUUAAGCAAGGACUCUCAACGAAUUUCAGAAAUUGAGUAAAUGAACUAAUUUAACCAACAAGCAAAACUGCUUAACAGAUGUUUCUAUUACUCUGCUUUAUACUCAAAACCAAGAAAAGCUACGAAUAUUCAUACGCAAACACACUGCUGAACUGAAAUUUAGCUUAACAGCUUCAUAGUCAAUCGAACGAGUUCUGACAAAUACGAGACAUUAUUCUGCCAUUUCAGAUAAUCACAAAACCAAGUUACAUUUCAAUCAAAUGCUUCAAUACCAAACAAAUUCGGGAUUGUCGACAUUUAAACAUAAAACAAACAGGACAGAAUUGCAUGCCUAGAGAAGUCAUCCAGACUCAUCAUCAAUCAGAACACAACAAUAUGUUUCUAUUAGCACUCGAACUUAAACAUCUAAGAAAUUCAAACUACUUCUGAUUGCUUAUCCUAGGCUCUCAUCAUAUUUUCAAUAAAACACCAAAGAUAGAUUAAGAAAAGAGAAGGAGAUUGAACCUGUUUGAUCGAGGCUUUGAUUAAUUUCGUUUGUAAGCGAUUACAAGUUAAACUUCCCGAUGAAGUUUUGAAAUGAAGAAGCGACACGGCAGCAGGUAGACAGGAACCGAAUCAGCGACCAAAACUCGAACGACAAACUCGAUUUCGGCUCAAUUAAUUUCCAUGUCGAAAGAGCAAAAUCGAAAAAUGUGGAAUCCAAAAUUGAAGGAAGAAAGCCGAAAAUCAAAGAGCACUAAACUAAACAUUUUUUUUGUGUUUUCUGAUUUUUUAAAAUGAAAAACAGAUCUCUAACCAAAAUGUUCUAACUCUUUUUUGAUUGUAUUACUCUACUUAACGGAAAAUAGAAAUAUGAGAAGAAUCACCCCUAGAACUCUAGAACACUCUUUUUUCCAAAUUUUUCUCUGAUUUUCUCCCGUAUCCUCUUUUUCUGCCCGAAAAAUCUCCUUUUAUAUUCCAACCCAGAAGCUUCUAACCUCUUCUCCAAGAAAACCGAUUUUUCUCCAAAAUCUGAAAAAAUCCCUAAAAAUCCGAAAGCCUUUUUCGUGUAAACGGGUUUUAGGCAAAUGGAUGCUUAGGAUCCAAAGAUCUCGAUCCUAUGGCUCCCAUUUAACUAUCAUCCAUUUAUGAAUGGCUCGGAUUCUUCAAAGAAAUUGAGAAGAGCACGUGAAAUGAGAAGAAAACGCGUUAAAAUCAGAUGUUAAUGAUGAGGGGGGACCAUGUGAGUUAACUCGCCAGGUUGGCGAGUUUUUCCGAAAGGACGCGGCAGAGGAGUGUAAGAGAGGGCUGGGC